rnacentral:rRNA from 1 species
CCAGAGAACUUAGCAGAGAUGCUUUUGGUGCCCUUUCGGGAACUCUGAGACAGGUGCUGCAUGGCUGUCGUCAGCUCGUGUUGUGAAAUGUUGGGUUAAGUCCCGCAACGAGCGCAACCCUUAUCCUUUGUUGCCAGCGGCUCGGCCGGGAACUCAAAGGAGACUGCCGGUGAUAAACCGGAGGAAGGUGGGGAUGACGUCAAGUCAUCAUGGCCCUUACGGCCAGGGCUACACACGUGCUACAAUGGCGCAUACAAAGAGAAGCGACCUCGCGAGAGCAAGCGGACCUCAUAAAGUGCGUCGUAGUCCGGAUUGGAGUCUGCAACUCGACUCCAUGAAGUCGGAAUCGCUAGUAAUCGUAGAUCAGAAUGCUACGGUGAAUACGUUCCCGGGCCUUGUACACACCGCCCGUCACACCAUGGGAGUGGGUUGCAAAAGAAGUAGGUAGCUUAACCUUCGGGAGGGCGCUUACCACUUUGUGAUUCAUGACUGGGGUGAAGUCGUAACAAGGUAAGCGUAGCGAG